rnacentral:misc_RNA from 1 species
AGCUGUUCCCCUCUGGAGGUUUUUGACCUUCACACUUACGGGCCGCGGUCUUCACCGACGGCCCUUUUUUCUUUCCGAU